CGAGCCGGUGCGCUAUGGCAGCGAGCCGUUGGCCGGCGGCUGGCGCCGGUUCAUUGCCGGCCUGCUCGGC
rnacentral:tRNA from 1 species